UAUGGUUUUUGUUAAGUGUUUUGAAAACACUUGUUAAGGGUAAAAUUUCCUUAAAAG
rnacentral:tRNA from 1 species